rnacentral:tRNA from 1 species
GGUCCCGUAGCUCAGCGGAUAGAGCGUAAGUUUCCUAAACUUUGCGUCGGAGGUUCAAUUCCUCUCGGGACCG